GUGGGGAAUAUUGGGCAAUGGGGGAAACCCUGACCCAGCGACGCCGCGUGAGGGAAGAAGGCCUUAGGGUCGUAAACCUCUGUUGUGUGGGAAGAAGAGCGUGACGGUACCACACGAGGAAGUCCCGGCUAACUACGUGCCAGCAGCCGCGGUAAUACGUAGGGGACGAGCGUUGUCCGGAUUUACUGGGCGUAAAGGGCGCGUAGGCGGUCAUUUAAGUCAGCUGUGAAAUGGUUUGGCUUAACCGGAUCAUGCGGUUGAAACUGGAUGACUGGAGUGCUGGAGAGGCAAGUGGAAUUCCCAGUGUAGCGGUGAAAUGCGUAGAUAUUAGGAGGAAUACCAGUGGCGAAAGCGGCUUUCUGGACGACAACUGACGCUGAGGCGCGAAAGCCAGGGGAGCAAACGGGAUUAGAUACCCUUGUAGUCC
rnacentral:rRNA from 1 species